UCACCUAGAGAUGGAUCCGCGGUGCAUUAGUUAGUUGGUGGGGUAAAGGCCUACCAAGACAAUGAUGCAUAGCCGAGUUGAGAGACUGAUCGGCCACAUUGGGACUGAGACACGGCCCAAACUCCUACGGGAGGCAGCAGUAGGGAAUCUUCCACAAUGGGCGAAAGCCUGAUGGAGCAACGCCGCGUGUGAUGAAGGCUUUCGGGUCGUAAAGCACUGUUGUAUGGGAAGAACAGCUAGAAUAGGGAAUGAUUUUAGUUUGACGGUACCAUACCAGAAAGGGACGGCUAAAUACGUGCCAGCAGCCGCGGUAAUACGUAUGUCCCGAGCGUUAUCCGGAUUUAUUGGGCGUAAAGCGAGCGCAGACGGUUGAUUAAGUCUGAUGUGAAAGCCCGGAGCUCAACUCCGGAAUGGCAUUGGAAACUGGUUAACUUGAGUGCAGUAGAGGUAAGUGGAACUCCAUGUGUAGCGGUGGAAUGCGUAGAUAU
rnacentral:rRNA from 1 species